rnacentral:rRNA from 1 species
GAUGAACGCUAGCGGCAGGCCUAAUACAUGCAAGUCGAACGGGAUUAAGAGGCUUGCUUCUUAUGAGAGUGGCGCACGGGUGCGUAACACGUAUGCAACCUACCUUUAACUGGGGGAUAGCCUUCCGAAAGGAAGAUUAAUACCGCAUAACAUAAUGGAGUGGCAUCACUUUAUUAUCAAACUAUUUGGGUUAAAGAUGGGCAUGCGUCCGAUUAGCUAGUUGGUACGGUAACGGCGUACCAAGGCGACGAUCGGUAGGGGAUCUGAGAGGAUAGCCCCCCACACUGGGACUGAGACACGGACCAGACUCCUACGGGAGGCAGCAGUAAGGAAGAUUGGUCAAUGGACGGAAGUCUGAACCAGCCAUGCCGCGUGCAGGAAGACGGUCCUCUGGAUUGUAAACUGCUUUUGUGAGGGAAGAAACUUCCGUACGUGUACGGGACUGACGGUACCUAAAGAAUAAGGAUCGGCUAACUCCGUGCCAGCCGCCGCCGUAAUAC